rnacentral:rRNA from 1 species
GCUAAAAAUCUAGCCUCACAUACUUAAAUACACCCCCUCUUCCUUCAUCAAGAAAAUAAAACAUUCUACAAAUUUAGUAAAGGAGACAAAAAAAUUUUUAAGCGCUAUACUAGUAGUACCGUAAGGGAAAGCUGAAAUAGAAAUGAAAUAAACACUAAAGCAUAAAAAAGUAAAGACUCACCCUUGUACCUUUUGCAUCAUGGUUUAACUAGUCUUACCCAAGCAAAACGAAUUACAGUUUGACCUCCCGAAACUAAGCGAGCUACUCCAAGGCAGCUUUAUGAGCAAACCCGUCUCUGUUGCAAAAGAGUGGGAAGACCUUUGAGUAGGGGUGACAGACCAAACGAGCUUAGUGAUAGCUGGUUACUCGACAAAAGAAUUUUAGUUCUCCCUAAAGCUUAAUUAAGAACAUCAGCUAAUUCCUACUGCUUUAGAGGUAUUCAGAUAAGGUACAGCCUGUCUGAAUGAGGACACAACCUAAACUAAUGGGUUAAAACCCUUUUAAGGUAUUUAAGUAGGCCUAAAAGCAGCCACCUUUAAAAAAGCGUCAAAGCUUCUCUACUCAUUUCACUAAUUCCAAAUAUGACCUUUAGCCCUUUAUUUUCCAUCGAGUAAUUCUAUAUUAUUAUAGAAUAUAUUAUGUUAAAACUAGUAACAAGAAGACAACCUUCUCUAUAAUGCAAGUGUAAGCCAGAAAGGAUAAACCACUGUCAAUUAACACAAGUGACCCUCAAUUAGCAACACCCCAAGAAAACCCUAAUAUUUUCAGUGUUAAACUGACACAAGAGCAUUUCAAGAAAGAUUAAAAGAAAAAGAAGGAACUCGGCAAAUAAUAACCCCGCCUGUUUACCAAAAACAUCGCCUUUUGAUACAAAUAUAAAAGGUCCAGCCUGCCCAGUGACCUAGUUCAACGGCCGCGGUAUCCUAACCGUGCGAAGGUAGCGUAAUCACUUGUUCUUUAAAUGAGGACUAGUAUGAAUGGCACCACGAGGGUUAAACUGUCUCCUUUCUCUAAUCAGUGAAACUAAUCUCCCCGUGAAGAAGCGGGGAUUACCAUAUAAGACGAGAAGACCCUAUGGAGCUUAAAACAAAUUAACACCUGCUUCCAUCUAUUUUUAUUCCCGAGCUAACACAUAAAAUACAGCAUUAUUGAUUAAUAGUUUUCGAUUGGGGUGAUUAUGGAGUAAAAAUUAACCUCCACGACGAAAGGGCGACUUCCCUGAGCUAAAAGCUACAACUUUAAGCACUAAAAAAUUAACGCACUUUGACCCAAAUUUUUGAGCAACGAACCAAGUUACCCUAGGGAUAACAGCGCAAUCCAUUUCAAGAGCCCCUAUCGACAAAUGGGUUUACGACCUCGAUGUUGGAUCAGGGUAUCCUAGUGGUGCAGCAGCUACUAAGGGUUCGUUUGUUCAACGAUUAAAACCCU